rnacentral:misc_RNA from 1 species
GAUGAAGAACGUAGCGAAAUGCGAUAAGUAGUGUGAAUUGCAGAAUUCAGUGAAUCAUCGAAUCUUUGAACGCACAUUGCGCCCCUUGGUAUUCCAUGGGGCAUGCCUGUUCGAGCGUCAUUUGUACCUUCAAGCUCUGCUUGGUGUUGGGUGUUUGUCUCGCCUCUGCGUGUAGACUCGCCUUAAAACAAUUGGCAGCCGGCGUAUUGAUUUCGGAGCGCAGUACAUCUCGCGCUUUGCACUCAUAACGACGACGUCCAAAAGUACAUUUUUACACUCUUGACCUCGGAUCAGGUAGGGAUACCUGCUGAACUUAAGCAUAUCAAUAAGCGGAGGA